GACGAACGCUGGCGGCGUGCUUAACACAUGCAAGUCGAACGGAAAGGCCCUGCUUUUGCGGGGUGCUCGAGUGGCGAACGGGUGAGUAACACGUGAGUAACCUGCCCUUGACCUUGGGAUAACUUCAGGAAACUGGGGCUAAUACCGGAUAGGAGCUCCUGCUGCAUGGUGGGGGUUGGAAAGUUUCGGCGGUUGGGGAUGGACUCGCGGCUUAUCAGCUUGUUGGUGGGGUAGUGGCUUACCAAGGCUUUGACGGGUAGCCGGCCUGAGGGGGUGACCGGCCACAUUGGGACUGAGAUACGGCCCAGACUCCUACGGGAGGCAGCAGUGGGGAAUAUUGCACAAUGGGCGGAAGCCUGAUGCAGCAACGCCGCGUGCGGGAUGACGGCCUUCGGGUUGUAAACCGCUUUCGCCUGUGACGAAGCGUGAGUGACGGUAAUGGGUAAAGAAGCACCGGCUAACUACGUG
rnacentral:rRNA from 1 species